AUUGAACGCUGGCGGAAUGCUUUACACAUGCAAGUCGAACGGCAGCACGGACUUCGGUCUGGUGGCGAGUGGCGAACGGGUGAGUAAUGUAUCGGAACGUGCCCAGUCGUGGGGGAUAACGUAGUGAAAAUUACGCUAAUACCGCAUACGAUCUAUGGAUGAAAGCGGGGGAUCGCAAGACCUCGCGCGAUUGGAGCGGCCGAUAUCAGAUUAGGUAGUUGGUGGGGUAAAGGCCCACCAAGCCAACGAUCUGUAGCUGGUCUGAGAGGACGCACAGCCACACUGGAACGUGGACACGGUCCAGACUCCUACGUGAGGCAGCAGUGGGGAAGUUUGGACAAUGGGCGAAAGCCUGAUCCAGCCAUUCCGCGUGCAGGAUGCAGGCCCUCGGGUUGUAAACUGCUUUUGUACAGAACGAAAAGGUUUCUACUAAUACUAGGAGCUCAUGACGGUACUGUAAGAAUAAGCACCGGCUAACUACGUGCCAGCCGCCGCGGUAA
rnacentral:rRNA from 1 species